GGAGAGGUGUCCGAGUGGCUUAAGGAGCACGCCUGGAAAGUGUGUAUAGGUUAGUAGCCUAUCGUGGGUUCGAAUCCCACCCUCUCCGCCA
rnacentral:tRNA from 1 species